AUGGAUACCCCAUUGCUCACAGACCCUCACAGACGCCUCGUUCCUUACACACACCCCGUUCCUCACAGAACUUUACAGAUGCCCCAUUCUUCACAGAUGCCCCAUUCCUCACAGACACUCACAGAUGCCCCAUUCCUCACUGACAUCGCAUUCCUCACAGACACUCCAAUCCUCACAGAUGCCCCCAUUCCUCAGAGAUGCCCCAUCCCUCAUAGACCCUCACAGGCACACCGUUCCUCACAGACACCCCGUUCCUCACAGAUGUCCCAUUCCUCACAAAUGCCCUAUUCCUUGAGAUGCCCCAUUCCUCACAGACCCCCACAGAUGCCCCAUUCCUCACAGACCCUCACAGACACCAAGUUCCUCACAGAUGCCCCGUUCCUCAGAGACCCUCACAGAUGCCCCGUUCCUCAGAGAUGCCCCGUUCCUCACAGACCCUCACAGAUGCCCCGAUCCUCAGAGAUGCUUUAUUCCUCACAGAUGCCCCAUUCCUCACAGACCCUCACAGAUGCGUCAUUUCUCAGAGAUGCCCCAUUCCUCACAGAUGCCCCGUUCCUCACAGACCCUCACAGAUGCCCCAUUCCUCACAGAUGCCCCGUUCCUCACAGACCCUCACAGAUGCCCCAUUCCUCACAGAACCUCACAGCGCCCCAUUCCUCACAGACACCCCAUUCCUCACAGAUGCCCCAUUCCUCACAGACCCUCACAGAUGCCCCAUUCCUCACAGACACUUCAUUCCUCACAGACCCUCACAGAUGCCCCAUUCCUCACAGAACCUCACAGCACCCCAUUCCUCACAGACACCCCAUUCCUCACAGAUGCCCCAUUCCUCACAGACGCUCACAGACACCCCAUUCCUCACAGACACUUCAUUCCUCACAGACCCUCACAGAUGCCCCGUUCCUCACAGAUGCUCCAUUUCUCACAGACCCAGCGUUCCUCACAGGUGCCCCGUUCGUUACAGAUGCCCUAUUCCUCACAGAUGCCCCAUUUCUCACAGACCCUCACAGACACCCCGUUCCUCACAGACACCCCAUUCCUGACAGAUGCGGCGUUCCUCACAGAUGCGGCAUUCCUCACAGACUCCAUAUUUGUCACAGACACUGCACGUUCAGUGUAUCCUCAUGGGGGAAAGGGGCAGAGGAGCCCCCCAGCCUCUUUCAUGAUGGCCCCCAUUCAUGGGGGCUCUGA
rnacentral:lncRNA from 13 species